rnacentral:rRNA from 1 species
GUGGAUUAGCUACCCGGGUAGUCCAUGCCGUAAACGAUGUCUACUAGCCGUUGGGGUCUUUGAGACUUUAGUGGCGCAGCUAACGCGAUAAGUAGACCGCCUGGGGAGUACGGUCGCAAGACUAAAACUCAAAUGAAUUGACGGGGGCCCGCACAAGCGGUGGAGCAUGUGGUUUAAUUCGAUGCAACGCGAAGAACCUUACCUGGUCUUGACAUAGUAGAAACUUUCCAGAGAUGGAUUGGUGCCUUCGGGAAUCUACAUACAGGUGCUGCACGGUUGUCGCCAACU